rnacentral:lncRNA from 1 species
UCAAAUCAAAACAUGUCUUCAACACAGGUACAUGGGUAAAGGAUUUCCAUCUGCCAGCCACGUGGAAACCACGUGCUUACCAAUUAAGAAUAUCCUCGUUAUGUUUUUCAGAGCUAGCUUCUAUCAAAUGCCUUCAAAGAUUCCUAACACAGUUCAAUGGGGUAGUUUUUAAAGGUGAUUAAUUUGACCAUUAGCGAAGCUUAAACAUGUAUAAUGAACAGGGUUGAUUCCUAAUCCUUUGUAUCUGUUCUACCUUUGGAGUAAACACAUGCAUGUACUCCCUUAAUUAUUGUAAGGCCCGACGACAGCAGAUAUUAUUAUAAAAUUUACAACUUGAUAUUUUUAGAUUGAAAAGAAUUUCAACUUGUUUGAAUGAAAUUAUUUUACGUGACAGUGCAUAGAUAUGGCC